rnacentral:rRNA from 1 species
AUGGCCUGCGUCCCAUUAGCUAGUGGUAAGGUAACGGCUUACCAAGGCUUCGAUGGGUAGGGUCCUGAGAGGGAGAUCCCCCACACUGGUACUGAGACACGGACCAGAUUCCUACGGGAGGCAGCAGUGAGGAAUAUUGGACAAUGGGCGCAAGCCUGAUCCAGCCAUGCCGCGUGCAGGAUGACGGUCCUAUGGAUUGUAAACUGCUUUUAUACGAGAAGAAACACUGCUUCGUGAAGCAGCUUGACGGUAUCGUAAGAAUAAGGAUCGGCUAACUCCGUGCCAGCAGCCGCGGUAAUACGGAGGAUCCAAGCGUUAUCCGGAAUCAUUGGGUUUAAAGGGUCCGUAGGCGGUUUAAUAAGUCAGUGGUGAAAGCCCAUCGCUCAACGGUGGAACGGCCAUUGAUACUGUUAAACUUGAAUUAUUAGGAAGUAACUAGAAUAUGUAGUGUAGCGGUGAAAUGCUUAGAGAUUACAUGGAAUACCAAUUGCGAAGGCAGGUUACUACUAAUGGAUUGACGCUGAUGGACGAAAGCGUGGGUAGCGAACAGGAUUAGAUACCCUGGUAGUCCACGCCGUAAACGAUGGAUACUAGCUGUUGGAAGCAAUUUCAGUGGCUAAGCGAAAGUGAUAAGUAUCCCACCUGGGGAGUACGUUCGCAAGAAUGAAACUCAAAGGAAUUGACGGGGGCCCGCACAAGCGGUGGAGCAUGUGGUUUAAUUCGAUGAUACGCGAGGAACCUUACCAAGGCUUAAAUGUAGUUUGACCGAUUUGGAAACAGAUCUUUCGCAAGACAAAUUACAAGGUGCUGCAUGGUUGUCGUCAGCUCGUGCCGUGAGGUGUCAGGUUAAGUCCUAUAACGAGCGCAACCCCUGUUGUUAGUUGCCAGCGAGUCAUGUCGGGAACUCUAACAAGACUGCCAGUGCAAACUGUGAGGAAGGUGGGGAUGACGUCAAAUCAUCACGGCCCUUACGCCUUGGGCUACACACGUGCUACAAUGGCCGGUACAGAGAGCAGCCACUGGGCGACCAGGAGCGAAUCUAUAAAACCGGUCACAGUUCGGAUCGGAGUCUGCAACUCGACUCCGUGAAGCUGGAAUCGCUAG